GUGAACGCUGGCGGUAGGCCUAACACAUGCAAGUCGAACGGCAGCACAGUAAGAGCUUGCUCUUACGGGUGGCGAGUGGCGGACGGGUGAGGAAUACAUCGGAAUCUACUUUUUCGUGGGGGAUAACGUAGGGAAACUUACGCUAAUACCGCAUACGACCUACGGGUGAAAGCAGGGGAUCUUCGGACCUUGCGCGAUUGAAUGAGCCGAUGUCGGAUUAGCUAGUUGGCGGGGUAAAGGCCCACCAAGGCGACGAUCCGUAGCUGGUCUGAGAGGAUGAUCAGCCACACUGGAACUGAAACACGGUCCAGACUCCUACGGGAGGCAGCAGUGGGGAAUAUUGGACAAUGGGCGCAAGCCUGAUCCAGCCAUACCGCGUGGGUGAAGAAGGCCUUCGGGUUGUAAAGCCCUUUUGUUGGGAAAGAAAAGCAGCAGGUUAAUACCCCGCUGUUCUGACGGUACCCAAAGAAUAAGCACCGGCUAACUUCGUG
rnacentral:rRNA from 1 species